AGUCCGGCCGCCCUGUGACUAACGGCUGGAACCGCCUAAGACACCACCCCAGCCAGCAUGGCCGGCAGGAGCGCACCGCGCUGUCUCCCUCCAGGGAUCCGCACCGCCCUACAAUCCUGCUUUGUGCUGAGAUUGUAGUCCUGCAGGCGUACAACUAACAAGCUGGGUGCAGAUAAGAGACUACAGCUCCCCGCAUCCCAAGCAAAGGUCCCUCCUCUACGGAGCCCCUCCACGCGUCCACUGCGGUUCCGCCGUGCCAAGGGGAGCUUGGCUGUUCACGGGCCUCACCUGCUAGCGAGAAGAUAGCUUGGCCGGGCGGCUGAUCUCACCUUGUAAUUCUGACACUGUGUCUCCCGGGCUUGUCGGCUUCAUGACUUGUGCCCAAAGUUUGAUUUCUCGCAGACCAGGUAAAAGCCAAGAGGCUCUCAUAGGCGCCUUGGCAGAGUUGCCAUUGGAACGGGCGUCCUCUAGUAGCUGGGAUCUCCCCGCCCCUUCCUCCUGAGGGGCCACUCCUUUCUGCCCCACCCUUCUUAUUGCCCCACCCUUUGCCACACUCCUUCAGAGAUGCGCAGUGCUGCCCCUUUCUAUGGGCAGGGCCGAAGGUCCGCGUGUAAAAGUACCCAGUCCCUGGUAACCUGACACUUCCCUUUUAAAAGCCACCUUUUGUCUAUCUCUGGCCUGCCACGAUUCUUCCUGUGCUCCAUAGGAGGACCCAUUGGACCCCCGGGCUGGCUGCAGGGCCCACACCUGGGUUAGACCUCGCACAGGGACGCUGCUGCCACUGUAAUAAAGCGUGCCUACACGCUUCUGAAACUGGUGUAGGAACAACCUCAGUUCUGUGAAAGGCGGACGCAGCAGGACAGAAUCUCCGUGGACAUCUGUCUGGAGGAGCAAUUUUACUGCGACAUUUUAAAGAAACAAAUUUAAUUGAUUUCCAAGGGUGAAGUGUAACCAAAAAAAAAAAAAAAAUCCAAAGGUCAAACUCAGUUUGCAGGAAGGAGCAUAGGAGAAUAAAGGAUGGAACAAAGAAGAAAAAGAACAGCAAGUUACUCUGAGUAUUGUGGAAACAAACUGAAAUUAGAGUGAGAGAGAGAGAGAAAAAAAAAGAAGGUCCGAGCAAUCUCAGAUAUAUGAGAGGCCAAGAUGGGAAGAUCACUUGGGUAAGACUGGGAAGAUUGAGUCUGCAGUGAGUCACAGUCGCAUCAUUCUGCUGGAUUUGAAUGGUACUGCUUCUGGCCCAAGUUGUCUGGGCAACCUUAGACAUGGGUGUCCAUCGCGCUUCCUUCACUGCCUUGAUCAUGUCGGGGUCACCACCUGCGGGGGUUUGUCCUGCAGACCCUGACUCAACGACGGAUGAAUAAUGUACACUGACACAGAUCUUAUGCUUGUCAGUCCUGCUGAGCAUCCAGGCCACUUACAGACUCCAAGAAGAGUCCUGUCAGCCACGGCUCUGACUUGUUGGCCCUCCCGGCAUUUAUUUAGCACACAUUUAAUGACAGAAGUCUCAGGCUGGAAACACUCUUUUUGUAGAACAUACAAAUGGACAUUUCUAAGCACAUUGAGGCCUAUAAUGAAAAAUCAAAUAUCCCACAAUGAAAACUAGAAGGAAGCUAUCUGUGAUAAUGCUUUGUGGUGUAUGGAUUCAUCUCACUGACUGAAACCUGAGUUUUGAUUCACCAGGUUGGAAACUCUUUCUGCAGAAUCUGCAAAGAAAUAUUUCUGAGCCCAUUGAGGCCUACAGUGGAAAACUGAAUAUUCUGUGAUAAAACUAGAAACACCCUAUCUGUGAAAAUGCUUUGUGAUGUGUGGAUUUUUCUCAUCGAAUGGAACCUCUGUUUUGACUCACAAGGGUGAAACACUAUUUUAGUAGAAUCUAGGAAGAAACAUAUCUGAGCCCAUUUAUGCCUACAGUGAGAAACUGAAUACCCUGCAAUAAAAAGUAGACAGAAGCUAUUUGUAAAAAUGCUUUGUGAUGUGUGGAUUCAGUGUUAAACUUUUAUUUUGAUUCCACAGUUUUGACACCCUAUUUGUAGAAUAUAUGAAUGAACAUUUCUCAGCCCAUUGAGGCCUAUCAUGUGAAACCAAAUAUUUUAUAAUAAAAACUGGAAACAAGUGAUCUGUUAAAAUGUUUUUUAGUGUGUGAAUUUGUUUCACAAAGAUAAAUCUUUGCAUGGAUUCAACAGGUUGGAAACAUUAUUGUAGAACCUAUGAAGGGAUGUUUUUAGCCUAUUAAGGACUAUAUAUAUAAAAAAAACUAGAAACAAGCUGUCUGUGAAAAUGCUUUGUGAUGUGUGGAUUCAUCUCACAGAGUUCCACCUUUGUUUUUAUUCAACAGGUUAAAAACGCUCUUUUUGUAGAACCUACAAAAAGACAUUUCUGAGCCCAUUGAGGCCUACAGUGAAAAACCAAGAAUCCCAUAAUACAAUCUAGAAAACAAGCUAUCUAGGAAACUGUUUUGGAUGUGUGGAUUCAUUUAACAGAAUGGAAAUAGUGUUUUGAUUCACCAUGUUUGAAACACUCUUUUUGUGGAAUGCACGAAGAACAUUCUUUGUGGAAGAACAUUGAUGCCUAUAGUGAUUAACCAAAUAUCACGUGAUGCAAACUAGAAACAAGCUAUCUGUGAAAAUGCCUUGCAGCGUAUGGAUUCAUGUCACAGAGUUACACCUAUGUUUUGAUUCAACAGGUUGGAAACAAUCUUUUUGUAGAAUCUACAAAGGAAUAUUUCUGAGCCAAUUGAGUUCUAGAGUGAAAAACAGAAUAUCCUGUGAUAAAAACUAUAAAUAAGCUCUCUGUGAAAUUGCUUUGAGACUGUGGAUGCAUCUUUCAGAGUUAUGCCCUUGCUUAUAUUCAACAGGUUGGAAACACUUUUCUUGUAGAAUCUAUGAAGGGAUAUUUCUGAACCUAUUGAGGCCUAUGGUGAAAAAUUGAAUAUUCUGCGAUAUAAACCAGAAACAAGCUCUCUGUGAAAAUGCUUUUCCAUGUGUGCAUCCAUCUUACAGAGUUAAACGUUUGUUUAGAUUCAACAGGUUGGAAAUACUCUUUUUGUAGAAUCUAUGAAGGGAUAUUUCUGAACUUUUUGAGGCCUAUUGGCAAAAUCCGAAUAUUACGUGAUAAAAACUAGAAACAAGGUAUCAGUGAAAAUGCUUUGUGAUGUGUGGGUUUAUCUCACCAAAUAAAACCUGUGUCUUGAUUCACCAGGUUGGACACACUUUUUUUUCUAUAACCUACAUAGGGCGAUUUCUGAGCCUAUUGAGGUCUAUAGCAAAGCAACAACAACAAAUAUCCUGUCUUAUAAUCUAGAAAGAAGUUAUCUCUGAAAAUACUUUAUGAUGUGUGAAUUCAUCUCACAAAGUUAAACCUUUGUUUUGAUUCAACUGAUUGGAAACACUCUUUUUGUAAAAUCUAUGAAGGGAAAUUUCUGAGCCCAUUUAGGCCUAUAGUGAGAAACAGAAUAUCCCACUGUAAUAAGUAGAAACAAGCUAUCUGUGAAAAUCAUUUAUGGUGGCUGGAUUCAUCUCACCAAAUGAAACCUGUGCUUUGAUUCACCAGUUUGGAAACACUAUUUUUAUAGAAUCUAUGCAGGAAUAUUUCUGAUCCCAUUGAGGCAUAUGCUGAAAAUUCGAAUAUCCCAUGAUAAAAACUACAAACAAGCUAUCUAUGAAAAUGUUUUGUCAUGUGUGGAUUCAUCUCACAGAGUUAAACCUUUGUUUUGAUUCAUCUGUUUGAAAACACGCUUUUUUGUAGAAUCUAAGAAUCAACAUUUCUGAGUGCAUUGAAGCCUAUAGUGAAAAACAAAAUAUCUGAUGAUAAAAACUAGAAACAAGCUAUCUGUGAAAAUGCUUUGUGAUAUGUGGAUUCAUCUCAAAGAAUUAAACUUUAUUUUGAUUCAACAGGCUGGAAACACUGUUUUCGUAGAACCUACAAAAAGACAUUGGGGAGCCCACUGAGUCUUACAGUGAUAAACCAAGGAUCCUGUGAUAAAACUAGAAACAAGCUAUCUGUGAAAAUGCUUUGCAGUUGGUGAAUUUCUUUCAUAGUUAAACCUUUUUUUAUUCAAUACGUUGGAAACACCAUUUUUUAGUGUCUCUAAAGGGACUUUUUCAGCCCUUUGAAACCUAUAGUGAAAAACCAAAUAUCUUGCAAUAAAAACAAAUAAACAAAAAAGAACUACUUAUGAAAAUGCCUUGUGAUGUGUGGAUUCAUCUCACAGAGUUAAACCAUUGUUGUGAUUCAACAGGUUGGAAACAUGCUUUUUGUAGAAUCUACGAGUUGACAUUUCUGAGCCCUCUCUGGGUUAUGGUGAAAACGAAAUAUCCCAUGAUAAAAACUAGAAACAACCUAUCUGUGAAAAUGCUUUGCAAUGUGUGGAUUCAUUUCACAGAAUUAAACCAUUGUUUUGAUUUAACAGGUUGGAAACACUCUUUUUGUAGAAUGUAUGAAGAGAUAUUUCUGAGGCCUGUUGUGAAAAACUGAGGUUUCCACAAGAAAAACUGGAAACAAGUUAUC
ensembl:lncRNA LINC00662 long intergenic non-protein coding RNA 662